UGUACAGUUUAUCGCUUUUAUAAGUCAAAACUGUUAUUAAGAAUAACAAACUUCUAAAUACUUCCAGGUUUUCCUAUAUAUUCCUUUAGAUUGGUUAAUUGUUUUUCAGUUAGUUGAGGAACUUCAUUAUUUCAAUUUGUUCCCAAAAUGUAUAAAUUAACACUUGUUUGUGUUCUUCUAACUGUUGGACUCACAAUAAUUACAGCAAAUGGUUCCCCCCAAUGCCCAUCGAAACAAAUAAUUCCUGUUACAGAUGUAAAUUACUACACUUUCUGUGAUCCAAUGGACAAUAGUUUAUUUCUCUAUAUAUGUGAUUAUGGUUAUGGUUUUAUUCGCAAUGAAACAGUUUCUGGGUGUGUUCCAUUCGAGCAAUGGCCAGACCAAUGUAUUACCAAAGUUCCCACAGUCCCAAAAUGCACAGGAGUUAACUUAAAUCGCCCAUCUGCGGCAACUAAUCCAAAUGAAUAUUAUCUUUGUCCUGGAGAAGGUGCAGAUCCGUUGUUGCUAUCAUGCUCAGGAGGAACAGCUUUCUUAAAUGUUCCGGGGAUUAUUGGUUGUGUUGAUUUUUCGGUUUGGAGAUCGAGUAAAAAUUGUCCUCUAUAAAUUAAUAAUCUAUAAGAAAAAUACAUUUUGAAAUAUU